UGUCUCCUCCACCCUCCUCCUUUGGUGUGGAUUUGCCCGGGCCUCGCAAGACGCCCGGGCUUUUUCU
rnacentral:ncRNA from 1 species